rnacentral:rRNA from 1 species
GACGAACGCUGGCGGCAUGCUUAACACAUGCAAGUCGAACGGGAAGGCCCUGCAUUUGUGUGUUCCUUGGGUGGCGAACGGGUAACUCACAAGUACGUGCCCUUGCGUUGGCUUCAAGAUCACUUCAGGGAUCUUAAUCUCAUACCGGAUAGGAGCUCCUGGUGCAUAGUGGGGGGUGGAGAGUUUCGGCGGUUAGGGGUGGGCUCGGGGCUUAUCAGCUUGUUGGUGGGGUAGUCGCUUACCAAGGCUUUGGCGGGUAGCCGGACUGAGAGGGUGAACGGCCAAAUUUGGACUGGGGAACCGCCCAGACUCCUACGGGAGGCAGGAGUGGGGAAUAUUGCACAAUGGGCGGAAGGCUGAUGCAGCAACGGCGCGUGCGGGAUGACGGCCUUCGGGUUGUAAACCGCUUUCGCCUGUGACGAAGCGUGAGUGACGGUAAUGGGUAAAGAAGCACCGGCUAACUACG